AGAGUUUGAUCAUGGCUCAGAACGAACGUUGGCGGCGUGGAUUAGGCAUGCAAGUCGAACGAGAAAGCUUCCUUCGGGAAGUGAGUACAGUGGCGAACGGGAGAGUAACGCGUGGGAAAUCUACCCUUUUGUGGGGGACAACAUCUCUAACGAGAUGCUAAUACCGCAUAAGACCUCAAGGCCGCAUGGCUUUGAGAUGAAAGGUGGCCUCUAUUUAUAAGCUAUCGCAGAAGGAUGAUCCCGCGUCUCAUUAGCUAGUUGGUGUGGUAAAGGCACACCAAGGCAACGAUGGGUAGCCGGCCUGAGAGGGUGUCCGGCCUCACUGGGACUGAGAUACGGCCCAGACUCCUACGGGAGGCAGCAGUCGAGAAGCUUCGGCAAUGGGGGAAACCCUGACCGAGCGACGCCGCGUGAGUGAUGAAGGCCCUAGUGGUCGUAAAGCUCUGUCAGAAGGGAAUAAAUGCCUGUAGUUAAUACCUGCAGGAGUUGAAGGUACCUUCAGAGGAAGCACCGGCUAACUACGUGCCAGCAGCCGCGGUAAUACGUAGGGUGCGAACGUUGUUCGGAUUGACUGGGUAUAAAGGGUUCGUAGGCGGACCAAUUAGUCAGAGGUGAAAGCCAGCGGCUCAACCGUUGAACUGCCUCUGAUACUGUUGGUCUUGAGUCCGUUAGAGGGUGGUGGAAUUCCUGGUGUAGCGGUGAAAUGCGUAAAUAUCAGGAGGAACACCAAUGGCGAAGGCAGCCACCUGGGACGGUACUGACGCUGAGGAACGAAAGCAUGGGUAUCAAACGGGAUUAGAUACCCCGGUAGUCCAUGCUGUAAACGAUGGGCACUAGGUGUUGGGGGGACUCUACCCUUUCAGCGCCAUAGCUAACGCAUUAAGUGCCCCACCUGGGGAGUACGAUCGCAAGGUUGAAACUCAAAGAAAUUGACGGGGGCCCGCACAAGCGGUGGAGCAUGUGGUUUAAUUCGAUGCAACGCGAAGAACCUUACCUGGACUUGACAUACUUGGGACAGCUGUGGAAACACAGUUUUCUUCGGACCCUUGUACAGGUGCUGCAUGGCUGUCGUCAGCUCGUGUCGUGAAAUGUUAGGUUAAGUCCUGCAACGAGCGCAACCCUUACCUUUAGUUACCAUCAGGUUAUGCUGGGGACUCUAGAGGGACUGCCGGUGUCAAACCGGAGGAAGGUGGGGACGACGUCAAGUCAUCAUGGCCCUUACGUCCAGGGCUACACACGUGCUACAAUGGUCGGUACAAUGGGCAGCGAUACCGCAAGGUGGAGCGAAUCCCAAAAAGCCGAUCUCAGUUCGGAUUGUACUCUGCAACUCGAGUGCAUGAAGUUGGAAUCGCUAGUAAUCGCUCAUCAGAACGGAGCGGUGAAUACGUUCCCGGGCCUUGUACACACCGCCCGUCAAGUCAACCGAGUAGGUUGCACCCCAAGUCGCUGAGCUAACCCUUCGGGGAGGCAGGUGCCCAAGGUGUGAUUUGCGAGGGGGACUAAGUCGUAACAAGGUAACC
rnacentral:rRNA from 1 species